rnacentral:rRNA from 1 species
UCCUCUUAGGCUAAUACGACCACAAGAUCGAUAGCAAAUAAGUACCGUGAGAAAGUUGAAAACAGCUUUGAAAAAAGAGUUCAAGAGUACGUGAAACCGUUUAGGGGUAAACCUAAGAAACCUAAAAUAUCGAACGAGAUUCAUC